CAUAGUGCAGGCUGCCGCCCCCGUGCAGCGACGCGAACGGGGCGCCCAGCAGCGCGUCCGCGCCGCCGAAGCUCAUCGUGGCCGGAGCAGCUGACAGGCCCUGUGUUCAGACCAAAUCGUCCAGAAAGGCCUGCGUCUGAACUCCAGAGGAAGUGGGGUGGCAGCCUGGAGUUUUCCUGUGAACACCCCUGGCAUGGAUGCUGAAGCCGUCAGCGGGGCACUCAGCGGGCCUGCCCAUGGUCACAUCCGGGGCUUCACCCCCAGGAAGCUGAACCACUGCAUCUGGAGUGAGUCAGACUGGGGCAGAUCCUGACUGUGGCUCAGGGACCCCCAGCCAAGCCUCUCACCUCCAGGAGCAGAUAAUGAGGUCAGCUGGUUAAACGCUUUACAGACUCACUUCUGUCCACUGAGAAGGCCCGGACAAUGAAACCCCGCACGCCUGAGCACCCCCAGCACUCAGAUUAUGGUUUCCAAAUACCAUUCUCCAGUGAGACGGAGCAGGGCAGCCGUACGUGGACCGUGAUUUGGCUUCCCGACUCAUGCAGGUGUUCCAAGCACAAAGUCUUGUGUGAAUGGUGCUGAGAGGGCGGAAACUUAAUCCAAUGAGGACGCCUGAAGGUGAGGCAUUUGGGAAGUGACUGAAGAGGAUCAGGUGGCUGGAGGGAGCCUGUGACCCAGUUGUGUGACCCACAUAGACUUCCACGCUGCCCGGCUCGCCACAGGACCCUUCCUCUGCACGUGUCCCGCCACCUGCCAUGCCCACUGGACACCACACCAGCGCGGGAGCCAGUCAUGCAUUGUGAGCGGGGAAGAGUGAGCUGAAACCUACCUCCUACCUCCAUAAGUCGUUUCUCUCGAGUAUUUUAGUUAUAGCGGCGAUUAAUACAAGGGCUAUUUGGAAAACCUGUUGAUUCCAGUGCUGGGGCAGAGAAAAUAUGUGUUGAAUAUACGUUGAAGUACCAGGAAGUAAGGAGAUAAAAGAAAAUGGUUACAGGCAUUUGGUUCAGUGGUUAAGGGCUGCCUUCCUCAGGGCCAGCGCUGUGGCAUAGUAGGUUCAGCAUCUGCGUGUGACACCGGCAUCCCACUUGGGCACUGGUUCGUGUCCUGGCUGCUCCCCUUCUGAUCCAGCCUGGGAAAGCAAUGGAAGAUGGCCCACGUGCUCGGGCCCCUGCACCCACGUGGGAGACCUGGAAGAAUUGCAGCCAUUUAGGGAGUGAACCAGAGGAUCAAAGACCUCCCUCUCUGUCUCUCCUUCUCAGUAUCUGUAAUUCCACCUCUCGA